GGCAUAUACAAUUUUGAGGCAGUGUUUCAUAAUAAUUUGAAUAUCAGAUCAGCAUCUGUGCUUUCUAUGCUCUCAAAAAUUUGAAAUCCACAUAUUUAUUUUUUAUAAAACUGCACCGACACACAGCCUCAAGCUGACAGAUAAACCCUAACAAUAUCCAGAUAAUUCUGCUAUUUAUACAGUGAACAUCAGAAAAUCCAUAUUGACACAUCAUUUACAUUUGGCAGUAACAUUUGCCAUUGAUCCAGCAAUUGGCAAAAUUG